AAAAAUAACUCUUUUAUUUGUUCGCCACAUUUUUGCCACAAAAGGUGAAUACCGUCCCGUUUAUGCCAUCUCACAUGCAGGCUGCGAAGCGAGGCCCAAUUAUUUUUGGAGGUUUAAUAACCUCCAUAGCCAGAGUCCUAGGACUCGAAGAGAAAUUCUCCAAACUAACCCCGCUCCCGCAUCAUGCCUUUGACAUUGACAUGGCAAGUAGCAUGAAACUAGUAAAACGAAGGAGUGAUG
rnacentral:lncRNA from 1 species